rnacentral:rRNA from 1 species
UACGAAGGUCCCAAGCGUUAUCCGGAUUUAUUGGGUUUAAAGGGUGCGUAGGCGGGUUAUUAAGUCAGUGGUGAAAGCCUACAGCUUAACUGUAGAAUCGCCAUUGAUACUGAUAAUCUUGAGUAUGAUUGAGGUGGGCGGAAUGUGUCAUGUAGCGGUGAAAUGCUUAGAUAUGACACAGAACACCGAUUGCGAAGGCAGCUCACUAAGUCAUAACUGACGCUGAUGCACGAAAGCGUGGGGAGCAAACAGG